rnacentral:lncRNA from 1 species
GCAUGACUUUGUAAUAAAAGCCACAACAGUAAAGACUGCAUUAUGAUGUUUAUAGCAUUGCGAUUGCCUGGAUUAAGGGAAUUCUCUGCUCAGCUCUGAUAUGUGGCAUCUGGGAGAUCUUUUGACUGAGCAGAAGAGAGGCCUCUGGGAUGGUACUGAAGCACAUAUAAUAGCAACGAGGAGAUAAAACCAUCCUGGCUGUGCUACUCACCUGACAAAUACCGUGCUCUCAAGAAAGCCACAAAAAUGUUUUGAAGAAAGCAGCAUAACCACUCUCCUGCUGGUGGUUUGGUGAACCUCACGGGGCGGCCCACAAUCGGAUGUCAGCCAUACUUUCCAAGUGGCAGCAGGGCUGGUCAGUGGUUUGACAUGAAAUGAAGCCAGGCUUGUGCUUUGGCUCCAGGUAUGAAGGCAGCGUCGGACCAUUGAUGGACAGGCUGAGGACUGGCCAUGAGUACUGCUGUGUGCAGACUGCAAACUUCUGCAGGGAGCUUCUGAAUGGCUGAGAGGAUUAAAUACCUGAUCUGCUGCUGGAUAUCUUUAUUUUCUUAUAGCACCUCCCCUCCAUUCCAUUUAGCAUGGCUGACAGCAUAAAUCCAAUUGGCUCCAGCCUAUGAAUAGUCGGGCCAAGUUCUGUAUGCUAAGGUGGGCAUGGAAAGACAUUUUACAAAGCAUUUAAGGCUUAAUUUCAGGAAUGGGCCUGGGACCCCCUUUUGGCAGCUCUAACACAACUGUUUAUGCAUUUUCUCUAAAGUAGUUUAAAU